UAUUUGGCGAAAAAAGAAGAUACAUUUCGAUAGAGAAGAAAGCAUCGAAAAAUACGCCUCACAAUCGAUUUUAAAGGGCUUGUUCUAAAAGUCCCUUGAACUGGUGCAGUUUAAGGGAAGUUUAAGGUGCCAGUUUAAGGGAAAAAGUUCGACACCUCGAUUUUAGAACUCAAAAAUGUCAAUUGGGAAAGGUUAGCGGUGCAAAGAAGAUCGGAAUAGAUCAAUCCGGAUGAAAUCACAGCACGGAACAAGGAGCUGAGACGAUCGACCAUCACUACAUCAGAAAACCUCCGAAAGCUAGUUUAAAGCAGGACGCGCAUCGGAACGGAACACGGACGACUGACGGUUCCACACAUUUCAUUGUUACCACAUUUGUUUCGGUAAACUUUUCGGGGCGUAAAACAGCGUAAAACCCCCAAACUGUCUGCCGGAGAAGUACAGUGAAGAAGUGAGGAAUGCGAAAACGAUGGAGUACAAAAGAAAAAGAAGGAACGCGAUGCGUUGCAACACUGCGAAUACCACGACUAAUCAAAACAUGUCGUCGGAAUCUUCAUUCCAACCACGAUCGGCUAGAAGACGUCGUCGGUACCGUCGUCGAAGAAACCGUAAUAACGCAAAUCGGCCAGCGUUUCCGGACACCAGCAGCUCACCUAUUAUGGAAGCUGUUGCAUCGCUUAUAAACGGAACGCAGAACGAGGACAUACAGAUGUGUAUGUCCUUGGCAACUCUUUUUCGCCGACUACCAUCGAAUCGCAAGAUUGCAGCGUACGCAUCGAUGCAAACGUAUCUCAUCCGUCAACUUCUUGGUGCAGAACACGAUCAAGUUGUCAGUGAUCCAUGCUUCGUAGAUGUAUCUACCCGCACGGAAGAUUUGAAUAAUGUAGAAGUUAAAAGACCGCCUGAGGAACAAUAAUAUUUGAUAAAACUCUUAUUGUGACAAUAAACUAAUUUGUAACAAAUUUAAUUUGUUACUUUCAAAAUUUGAAACUUGAUUGCUAAAUAAUAAUAAUAAUAAUAAUUCCUCACUAAAAAUCAGAUUGGUUUUAGCAGAUAAAACAAAAGAAAUAAAUCAAUGGAAUGUAGCUAUCAUUCUGAACUUUAUUAAUAACUCGAUUAUUAUUGGGGUUUUUAUACUAAGUUUAGCCUUGAAAAACGAUGUUAUUAGAAACAUUAUUAAAAAUUAUGAACAAAAAAAAAAACCUA